rnacentral:tRNA from 1 species
GGGUGCGUAGCUCAGCUGGUUAGAGCGUCUCGUUUACACCGAGAAGGUCUGGGGUUCGAGUCCUCACGCACCCA